rnacentral:rRNA from 1 species
GCUAUUAAAGUGGCUAAGGCCAUGAACAUGGAUGGACCUGCGGUGCAUUAGCUAGUUGGUGAGGUAACGGCCCACCAAGGCGACGAUGCAUAGCCGGCCUGAGAGGGCGGACGGCCACAUUGGGACUGAGACACGGCCCAAACUCCUACGGGAGGCAGCAGUAGGGAAUUUUCGUCAAUGGGGGGAACCCUGAACGAGCAAUGCCGCGUGAGUGAGGAAGGUCUUCGGAUCGUAAAGCUCUGUUGUAAGAGAAAAACGACAUUCAUAGGGAAUGAUGAGUGAGUGAUGGUAUCUUACCAGAAAGUCACGGCUAACUACGUGCCAGCAGCCGCGGUAAUACGUAGGUGGCGAGCGUUAUCCGGAAUGAUUGGGCGUAAAGGGUGCGUAGGUGGCAGAACAAGUCUGGAGUAAAAGGUAUGGGCUCAACCCGUACUGGCUCUGGAAACUGUUCAGCUAGAGAACAGAAGAGGACGGCGGAACUCCAUGUGUAGCGGUAAAAUGCGUAGAUAUAUGGAAGAACACCGGUGGCGAAGGCGGCCGUCUGGUCUGUUGCUGACACUGAAGCACGAAAGCGUGGGGAGCAAAUAGGAUUAGAUACCCUAGUAGUCCACGCCGUAAACGAUGAGAACUAGGUGUUGGGG